UGUUGUGAAAAAACCAAAGAAGAAGAAAGGCAAUGAUGAUGAAGUCAUCAAUGAAGAGCUACUCCCAUGGCAAAAAUGGCCAAACAUAUCGAAGGAUGAUUGGGAAGCUUUUGUUAUUCAACAAAGUACAAAGGAAGCAAUUGAACUGAGGGAGCAAAAUUCCAAAAAUGCAAAGAUGAAGCAAUACACCCAACGUAUGGGGUGUAAGACAUUUGGUGAAUGGAGGGAAACGUGGGUCAACGAAUGAGUAUACCCCACUUCGCUACUAGGGUCGUCCAAAGGACCCUCUUCUUCCACGAUCACUACGCUGGUGAGUCGUGCUGGUGAUUUCUUCUGUUCACUGCAUGCGCGUGACGAGGAGACCGGAAAAUGGGCCAUCAAGGCUCCGGAAACCAAAGAAAUGGCUGAUAAGCUCGUAAGCAACUACGAACUUGAGAACUCUAUGCUAUUGGUUUUUGUUUUGUUGCGUUUAGCUAUCUUGUAUGUGUUGGUGGUCGGCUAUUAUUUCUGUUUUUUUUUUUGCUACAGAUUGAACACACCGAAGAACUGGUUGAAGGCAAGCUCGUCCCAAGUGUAGACCCUUUCACCUUGGCUUUGGGAAAGCCCUACCAUCCAGGACGGGUAGUAGGUGCAGGAGGGUCAUUGCUAGGGUGGGAAAAGGUGAUAGGUCCAGAGUAUAACAAAUCAGGAAGACCCCGAGCAAGUGUGAACUCACCUCAUGACUUGGUUUCCACGGUGGCAUCGAUUAAGGAACAAGUCCGCAACGAGCUCGUAAGUGAAUUUAACGCUUGGGCGAAGCAAAUGAACCUACCGAGCUUGCCUUUCCCCUCGAAUACACCCGUCGACUCAUGUAGUCACCCAAAAGGACAAGGGGAAGAUGAUAUACAUGGAGACGAUGAUGCAAAUGAGGGUGGUACGCCUACACAUGCGGACUCGAGGGAGCUCGAUAAUCCAGCACCUCAUC